AUUUUAUUUUGAUUUAAAAAAAGAAAAUGCAUAAAUGCAGAAACACAUAAAUAUCUUACUUUUAAUGUCGCUUUACUUACUUUUGUAUUGACUUACUCUAAUAGUGAAGUGAUUCACUUGUAUUCUAUAGGUAAUUUAAGGUACAUUUUACUGUAUUUCAUGAGCAUUUAGAUAGUUAAUUGCAUGAUUUCUUGUUAGUUUCAUUGCUUUUUAAGAUUUUGAGAUACUUUGGCUUAAUUUCUUGAAUUCUAUAUUUUAUCAUGUGAUUUCAUACAGUUCCAAGGCCUAUAACACAUUUGGAUAAGUUGGGAAGUCAAAAAAAGCAAAUUCUUUACUGAGAAGGAAUGCACAGGCCGUGCACUGGGCAUCCUUACCCCCUGUAACUAUCCGCUGGAAGAAAGCUGAAAAAGAGCAAUUGCACGGGCCAUGUAAAGGGACCUGUGUAAUUGUCCUUGGCCCGUGUAACCUUCUGCUGCCCCAAAUUGUGAAAGUUUCAAGAGCUCCAGAAAGUUACACUGCCUGCCCAGUGUGAUGAAGUAUGGGCCAUGUGAAAUACCCUAGCUCAGACUCUAA
rnacentral:misc_RNA from 1 species